GUCGGAGCGAAGCUUGCUCGCGAAAGCGGUCUAUCUGCCGACAUCAAUGUUGAAUGUCGGUCCGUCUUCGCGAGCAAGCUUCGCUCCUAC
rnacentral:antisense_RNA from 1 species